rnacentral:piRNA from 1 species
AACUGUGAUAGGCUGAAGCCUGAA